GGGAGGAUGGAGGGAAAGAGAGAUGCUCCGGUGCUCCGCGGACAACGAGCAUCUCCCCACGAUUGUGUGGCAGUUACAUGACACAGCAGUGAAAUUUUCAUCGUUGUGCGUUUCCCUCUAAAUCGGAAAUUCACAAUCCACAUCGUGCGUCUGAUGAUUUGAUCGAAUUAGUACGAACUGACGUAUUACAAUGUAAUAAUUACGUCUGGUAAUGGUGCUGUAAUGAAGGGAAUGCAAUUAUACCGGUCGCCGGUUGUGAAUGUCACCACGCGUCGGAGAUCGUAUGCAAAGUGCUUGGCAUACAUAAAUGGUUCGCAUCUCAUUAUCCUUCCGUCAUUUUCGAGAGGCAAACCGAAGAUAAAUAUCGAAAUUAUAAGAUUCGGCCGAUUUUAGCAACUUGAUAGUAAUAUGUUGUUUGUCUGAAUUAUGGAUAA